UACUAAUUUAGAUUGUUUAUUCUUAAAAUAUGUACUUAAAAACUAGAAAAUUGCUCGAUUCGCCCUCCUCCCUAUAUGGGUGGUAUCUCAAACUGAAAAUGAGAAGUAAUGUCAUAGGAAUUUUAUGAAUAAUCGAUAAUAAAAAUGCUAUCUGCAAAAUCUAUGAUAACCAUGUUUAUGGUAUUGGCACUGAUUUAUUGUUCAAUGGCUUGCGACGGGCACGAUAGCCCAUGCAGUGGAGAUAAUGGUUCUCAAGGCAGUUGUUGUGGAGGCAUGCAUUGUCAGAAGAACGACCCUUCUUGGCGUCAAGGACGUUGUUACUAUAAUCCUGGAAAGUAACUUCCAGAUAUGCAGUACUAAGAAAUACUAACAAGAUGAUUAUUAUAUUAUUGGAAAAAAUAUUAUUUUACUGAAUAAAGCGCUACAAUGUUCUAGAUAGUUAAA